rnacentral:ncRNA from 1 species
GUUAAUAUUAAAUGCACAGGAUGGUAGUAAAUUAUUAGAAAUUGUUUCUCUGAUAAACUAUGAAUCUAGCUGAUUAACAAUCUGAAAUGAAUAAAUUUAAAUAUUUCUGGCAUUAAAAAUAAAACUACAUAGAGUCAUUACAUUUUUAUCAUAUAUAUCAUGGAAUAUGUGGGUCGAUUUUAUAUAUGUCUUAAUUUAAAUUAAUUAAGCUGAAUUUAAACAAAUAACUCAAAGGCCCAAAGAAGGUAUUGAGGUGAUGUGAUUUCUGCCAGUGCUCUAAAUGUCAAAGUGAAGAAAUUUAGUGAAGCUUGGAUAAAUGUCAGAGAGAGGAACUAUGACUCUUUUAAGGUAGCCAAAUGCCUUCUCAUCUAAUUAGUGCCAAACAUGAAUAGAAGAUCAAAAUUUCCAUUGUCUCUGCCUUCUGUUCAGUGAAACCACAGUCAAGGGAAUGGGCUUGGUGGAAUCAGUAAGGAAAGAAGACCCUGUUGAACUUGAUUCUAGUCUGGCACAUGCAGAGUCAAGAGAGGUAUAAAAUAAGUGGGAGGCUCUGGGAGGCUCCUUCCUGGAGUGGCACAGAGUGGAUCACCAAUCUAGUAGGCCACCUGUGAAAUACUACAAGGCAUUGGUUUUUUACUGAGCUGGUGAGAUGGGUCGAGCCCCAAGAGACUCUUUCUGGUCACAAUCCUCAGGACUUUCUGAUUUGGUGCAAUCAUUAUGGAGAGAGUACCAGGUGAGGAGUUUGAGAGUGAAACAGUAGUGCAAGUGCUCUAAGGUGAGUUCAUGAAGGACAGAAACCUCCUGUGUAGCAGAAAGGUAAAAGCUUGCUUGACCUUGAUUUUCAGUGAGUUAAUAUAAAUAUAGCCAGUGAAAGUAGUGCCCCAUGAUCCUUCUGAUCUUUUGGGUUUUAAGCAGUAGGUGUCAAAAAUAUCACCACAGGGAUAACUGCUUUGUGGCAGCCAAGCAUUCAUAGCAAUGUCGCUUUUUGAUCCUUUGAUGUUGGCUCUUCCUAUUAUUAUGAAGCAGAAUUCACCAAGCAUUGGAUUGUUCACCCACAAAAUAAUAAAUAAAAUAAAAUAUAGAAUCAAAUAUGUAAACAAAUAAAAUAAUUUUACAAAUCAUUUUUAUGCAUUUAUAUCUUGAAAUUUUACCAGUUAGAAAUUAAGGGGGGGUCAAGGUGGCAGGCUAGUCAAACGUGGGGUUCACCUCCUUCCAUGACAACAUUAAAAUUACAAACAAAUUAUAAAGUAAUCAGCUUGGAGAAUCACCUGAAGACUAGCAAAAAUAUCACAUACAAAUGAAGAUAUAAAGAAAAAGCCACAUUGAGAUUGGUAGGAGGGUUGGACACGUGAAGCGGUCUAGUCCCACAACC